GAAAGAUCUCCCAUGCUCAUGGAUUGGCAGGAUUAAUUUAGUAAAAAUGGCCAUUUUACCAAAAGCAAUCUACAGAUUCAAUGCAAUCCCCAUCAAAAUACCAAUCCAAUUCUUCAAAGAGUUAGACAGAACAAUUUGCAAAUUCAUCUGGAAUAACAAAAAACCCAGGAUAGCUAAAUCUAUCCUCAACAAUAAAAGGACUUCAGGGGGAAUCACUAUCCCUGAACUCAAGCAGUAUUACAGAGCAAUAGUGAUAAAAACUGCAUGGUAUUGGUACAGAGACAGACAGAUAGACCAAUGGAAUAGAAUUGAAGACCCAGAAAUG
rnacentral:lncRNA from 1 species